CCCUUAGAUGUUCGGGGCCGCACGCGCGCUACACUGAAGGAAUCAGCACGUCUUUCUCCUUGUCCGAAAGGACUGGGUAACCCGCUGAACCUCCUUCGUGCUAGGGAUUGGGGCUUGUAAUCCUUCCCCAUGAACGAGGAAUUCCCAGUAAGCGCGAGUCAUAAGCUCGCGUUGAUUACGUCCCUGCCCUUUGUACACACCGCCCGUCGCUACUACCGAUUGGAUGGUUUAGUGAGAUCCUCGGAUUGGUCCCGGCGCGGCCUCUGGUCGUGCCGGAGUGCCGAAAAGAAUGUCGAACUUGAUCAUCUAGAGGAAGUAAAAGUCGUAACA
rnacentral:rRNA from 1 species